AAGGGAAAGAAAAGCGUCUGAA
rnacentral:miRNA from 1 species